rnacentral:rRNA from 1 species
UACGUAGGGGGCCAGCGUUGCUCGGAAUUACUGGGCGUAAAGGGUUCGUAGGUGGUGCGGCAAGUUGGGAGUGAAAUCUCUGGGCUUAACUCAGAGGCUGCUUUCAAAACUGCCGCGCUCGAGUGCGAGAGAGGUCAGUGGAAUUGCAGGUGUAGCGGUGAAAUGCGUAGAUAUGCGGAGGAACACCGAUGGCGAAGGCAGGUCUCUGGGCAUUAACUGACGCUGAGGAGCGAAAGCAUGGGGAGCGAACAGG